GAGCUUGCUCUCGGGUGACGAGCGGCGGACGGGUGAGUAAUGUCUGGGAAACUGCCUGAUGGAGGGGGAUAACUACUGGAAACGGUAGCUAAUACCGCAUAAUGUCGCAAGACCAAAGUGGGGGACCUUCGGGCCUCAUGCCAUCAGAUGUGCCCAGAUGGGAUUAGCUAGUAGGUGGGGUAACGGCUCACCUAGGCGACGAUCCCUAGCUGGUCUGAGAGGAUGACCAGCCACACUGGAACUGAGACACGGUCCAGACUCCUACGGGAGGCAGCAGUGGGGAAUAUUGCACAAUGGGCGCAAGCCUGAUGCAGCCAUGCCGCGUGUGUGAAGAAGGCCUUCGGGUUGUAAAGCACUUUCAGCGGGGAGGAAGGCGAUAAGGUUAAUAACCUUGUCGAUUGACGUUACCCGCAGAAGAAGCACCGGCUAACUCCGUGCCAGCAGCCGCGGUAAUACGGAGGGUGCAAGCGUUAAUCGGAAUUACUGGGCGUAAAGCGCACGCAGGCGGUCUGUCAAGUCGGAUGUGAAAUCCCCGGGCUCAACCUGGGAACUGCAUUCGAAACUGGCAGGCUAGAGUCUUGUAGAGGGGGGUAGAAUUCCAGGUGUAGCGGUGAAAUGCGUAGAGAUCUGGAGGAAUACCGGUGGCGAAGGCGGCCCCCUGGACAAAGACUGACGCUCAGGUGCGAAAGCGUGGGGAGCAACAGGAUUAGAUACCCUGGUAGUC
rnacentral:rRNA from 1 species